rnacentral:lncRNA from 1 species
CCGGAGAAAUGCUGCACAUUGAUAUAUUCUCCACAGACAAGAAACUUUUUUUGACCUGCAUCGACAAGUUCUCAAAGUUUGCCAUCGUACAGCCCCUCUCUUCCAGGGCUAUAGUAGAGGUACGAGCCCCCAUUAUACAAUUGAUAAAUUUUUACCCGAAUACCAAGACCAUAUAUUCUGACAAUGAGCCUUCCUUCAACUCCGAAACAAUUACCUCUUUGCUUAAAAACCAAUAUGGCAUCGACAUCGUAAAUGCACCCCUCUACAUAGUAGCUCCAACGGGCAAGUAGAGAGAUUUCACAGCACGUUGGCAGAGAUAGCAAGGUGCAUAAAACUCGACCAAAAGAUAGAGGACACCGUCGAGCUAAUCAUGCGCGCCACUGUAGAAUACAACAGGACGCUACAUUCGGUCAUAGACCAGAAGCCUGUAGAAGCAAUCCAUGUAAGCAACAACGAUCUGAAGUUAGCAAUUAGAACCAGAAUUGAUAAGGCACAAAAGGCCAAUAUCGACAGGUUUAACAUCUCAAGGCAGAACAGAGUCUUUGAAGUGGGUGAAAAGGUUUACCCAAGGAAUAACAAAAGACUAGGGAACAAGCUAACCCCGCUGUACUCAGAAGAACGGGUACAAGCGGACCUUGGAACGGCAGUUCUAAUUAAGGGGAGGGUGGUCCAUAAGGACAAUCUGAAAUAAUUCAAACUUUUGUUUUACAGAUUUAAGGUAUCAUUCCCGCAGGUUUGACGGAAUACUCUUCCUACUCCCUUCUACUACAACUGCGCGGAUCACCGCCUUUUAUACCGUUAAAAUGUUGGAGUUGUUCCCACAUUCAGAUAUAGAACAUAAAAAAAUCCGUUGUCCGCUUUAAUGAUACAUGGCCAGAAGCCUAGACUUCCUGAUAACAGCAUUAAAGGUCGUAGCAAGUACCCCCGACGAGUUGGGCUUCGAAAAAAUAGCAGCUUGUAGAAUCAUAGACUGAUUAACUGAGUACUGAUUAACACAGAGGCACAGAAACAGGAUGCUAAUUUCGGUAGUCCAAAUCUCAUGAUUACGAUCACACUUGCCAAAGCGAAUAUCCCACUAAGACCUAAAAUCUAUUUUUACCGAACAGCUCACAGAGGUCCCAGUAGCUUAUUUGUUGGGAGUAUGUAAGAAUAUAAGAAUUUUUCAUUUCAUAUUUAAGUAGAAUGCUCCCAGGUUAAAAUUAUCUUUAUGUCGCGAAGUACACGCCGGCGGCUCUGCUUCAUGACGCACGCAACCCAGCCACCUGGCCACCACCAUCCUGUUGCAUCAAUGCUGUAGUAGUGGACGAUGGCAUAAUCAUCAUAAAUGGGCAGCGAGCAACGGUCAGCGUUGACAAUGGACCCCUAAGGACGACAAGAGAGGCCCACCUCAUCACGUUCGAAGACAGAACCGUGAUCAACAGCACCCUGUUCUUAAACCUCAACAAAGCAUUGAGGAAAGUUCCAGGAAUCGUAGCUUCGCCUUUGCUGUCAAUAACGGGGCACGGUGAAAUCCUAAGCCUACCACGACUACAAUCGAUGAACGAGCACAAUCUAAGGGCCAUCCAAGAACUUAGAAGCGACAUGACAUCCGGUGGGUCACCCAAGACCUGGUUCAUUGCGGACAGCCUCAAGCUCUGUGGCCUUAUCCUGUUGCAUCAAUGCUGGAUUCGAAGCAACUCCUCAAUCAAGUUGCAAAAGGUCAUCAGAGAGAUAGGUAUCGCCGAGGACGGAGAUGAUUUAAGGGGGGAGUAGUUAACACAUAAGCAAUAACAUGGGACACCCUAACUUAGCGCACAAGAAAU